GACGAACGCUGGCGGCGUGCUUAACACAUGCAAGUCGAACGGGAUAUAGUCGGGAGUAAUCCUAGCUAUAUCUAGUGGCGGACGGGUGCGUAACGCGUGAACAAUCUGUCCUUUUGAGGGGAAUAACAUCUGGAAACAGAUGCUAAUACCGCAUGGGACCACGGCAUCGCAUGGUGCAGGGGUGAAAGGGCUACGGCCCGCGAGAGGAUGAGUUCGCGUCUGAUUAGCUAGUUGGUGGGGUAAAGGCCUACCAAGGCGACGAUCAGUAGCCGAUCUGAGAGGAUGACCGGCCACACUGGAACUGAGAAACGGUCCAGACUCCUACGGGAGGCAGCAGUGGGGAAUAUUGGGCAAUGGGCGAAAGCCUGACCCAGCAACGCCGCGUGAGGGAAGAAGGUUUUCGGAUCGUAAACCUCUGUCGCAGGGGACGAGUAGAUGACGGUACCCUGUGAGGAAGCUCCGGCUAACUACGUGCCAGCCGCCGCCGUAACAC
rnacentral:rRNA from 1 species